ensembl:processed_transcript
GCAGUGAGAGUCUGACCAUCGCGAUUUUAAUGGACCACAUGGAGAAAAAGGGAAUCACAUAUCUCAGCAAUGACUGGAAAUUGAUGGUCAGGAAUUUCUGGGGGGAAAAAACAGAUGGUGCAUCGAUGGACAGCCUUCCAAGAUGAAGGGGUGGUGUUUGGUAUAGAUCAGUGGUUCUCAAACCUUUUUGCUUGAGUAAGAAUUUGUCUCUCCAGGUAUCACCUAAUGACUAGCAUUGAAAUAUAGUAGCAUAGUAGGCCUAAUUAAUCAGCUACAGCUCUGCACAGAUCAAAACAAGGCACAUUUAUUCCUAAAAUAAUGUCAGCUACUUAAAACAUAAAUAGUUUAAAUAUUAACACUGU